GCACUGUAUAUUCCAAAUUAUUCUUAUACAGUAUAUGAGGACGUACAUUUUUACAAUUGUAAGAUAACUCAUAUGUCGAGGAAGAAAAUACGUGUUUUAUUGAAAUGAGUGAGUCCGUGAAAGUGGCCGUGAGAUGUCGGCCGAUGAACGCUCGAGAGCUGCAACAGGGAUGCAGGAACAUUAUGACAAUCGACUCAUCGUCGAAAUGUUGUACCCUCGAGUGUCCUGCAGCGGGAACCGGAAAUGGCAAGGUGUAUCAAUUCGACGCCGCCUUCGACCCGGAAGCCACCACAGAAUCCGUCUACGAAAAUGUCGGUUCUGUCAUCGUGGAGGCUGUCCUGGAUGGUUACAACGGUACCGUGUUUGCCUACGGACAAACAGGCUGUGGAAAAUCUCACACGAUGCGAGGAUUCAUCGAACGUACCCUGGACCAUAUUUUCGAGGCCACAUCGACAGCUAGCGCUGAAAUGAGAUACCUGGCCUUGCUCAGUUACCUGGAAAUUUAUAACGAACGAUUACGGGAUCUCCUGCAAGAUGGCAUGAGCGAUCUUCUGACCUUGAAAGAGGAUCCCACUCGUGGAACUUACGUGGCUGGUGGUUUGAAGGAGGUCACGGUGAAAGAUGCUGCAGAGUGUGCACGACUAGUCGAACAGGGUGAUAGAAGAAGAGCUGCUGCAGCCACCAAAAUGAACGCAGCUAGUUCUAGAAGUCACGCUGUACUGACACUGUCGUUAGAGACACUGGCAAUUAACGAGGAGAACAGUAAGACUGAGAAUACUGUAAAAAGAGGAAGACUUCACCUGGUGGAUCUUGCUGGGUCUGAGAGGCAGACGAGGACUGGUGCCACUGGAGACAGACUGAAAGAGGCUGCUAGUAUUAAUUUAAGCCUCUCUGCCUUGGGAAAUGUGAUCAGCGCUUUGGCUGCUGGUCAUGGAAGGCAUGUGCCAUAUAGAGACAGCAAGCUAACCAGACUCCUAAGAGACAGUCUUGGUGGGAAUGCAAGGACUCUGAUGAUUGCUUGUGUAAGUCCCAGCGACGUGGAUGGCGAAGAGACACUGAGUACUUUGCGCUAUGCAGCUAGAGCUCGAUGCAUCAAAAACAAGCCUGUGAUCAACGAAGAUCCGAAGGAUGCUCUGUUAAGGCAAUAUCAGUUAGAACUACAACGUUUAAAAAAGCUACUCGAGUCAAAUGACCCGUUACUCAUAAAGGAGCUUCCAGUAAAGGAAGGAAGCGACGAUGGAGAGAGUACUCAGCAAAAAGAAUACGCCGAUGAAGUCGAGAGAUUAAAGAAAGAAUGUGAACAUUCAAAUUUGUCGGCUCAGAAGCUUCGGGAGGAACUGGAGUCUCUGAAGAUCCGUUAUGAAGCUGAUGGCGUUAAUAACACGAGUACCAAGCCUGUUCCUCAGCAGGCAAUAGACGAGCAGGAUCUGGAACGAGAGGAAAGACGAAGAAAGAAACGAGAGGCGGCUAUGCAAGAGGUGUUGAAGAGAUUAGAGAAGUUGACCAUUGGAGGAGAAGAGCAAGGGAACACGGAACUGAGGAGACGUCGAGAAAAGAGAAGAAAAAAGCUAGCAGCUCUUGCCACAGCUUUGGAGACUAGUGCUCAGGAAGGAAACGGAAGUGUCUUCCAAGUUUAUGGUCAAUUGAGAUCCACAGAAGAUGCUCUAAAGCGAAUGGCCAAGCGAGUGAAGCAACUCGAAGCGGAAGCAGCUGAUCUUCAAGCUUCCUGGGACGCAGAGCGGCGUGAUCUUUUGCGUAGAGAACUGCUCAUCUCUCAGAUAUGCGACGUGAUGGUUCCUCAUCUUCGACCCGGAUGUCCAUUUCGCGAUGUCGCUGCUCUCAGAUCUGCGGCCACUUGGUGCGAUGAGUUGGGUCGUUGGAGAUUGCCGGAUGUGACGCCACAUAUUUCUCUUCCUCCAGCGUCGUUAGUGCCUAAAGAUAACGUACAGUACAAUAUAGUGCCUUCCAAACCUGAUCUUAACAAUAAUAGUAAUGGCAAGGACAAUGAGGAUGAGAUUGGCAACGAGGCUGAUAGCGAGGAGAGCAGUGAACAAGAAGAGGUCAAGAAGCCAGAUAUCGUGGACACGUAUUUCCGGCGGAAUAGAAUUGACAAGUUACUGGCUCAUGUCAGGGAAGCAAAAACGUUUGAAACAUGCAGUCGACUUAGCAGGUCAGGUGGUUCGGAGGAUAUGGUUCCACUUGGAGGCAACCAUCUUCAACUGAACGCUCUGAAUUUGCAAAGCAGUGCACCAGUGAUCGGUGACCUGGAUGGUUACAAACCUACACAACGUCUAUCAACUGGACGGAUUAGCCGACCUGGUUGGAUAUUGGAAGAAAAUUCGAUCAACAAGAGUACCUUGCUGAACCAAACGAUGAAACGAAAUCCUCCUCGAAUAUUGGAAGCAUUGCCCUCAUAUCCUCAAGGUACAAAUGGUGCCUUUAAAUUUGGGAAUAGGUCCAUUUCGAUGAGGAUAUCCGAUAAGAUAUCGUCGAGAUUCAUUCACAACGAGGUCGGUGAUAACCACUCAACGUUGGUUGAACACGCUCGUUCCCCCACGUAUUGAGAUUGAAGACACAAAGACUGUGGUAAUUGGGAACAACGAGCUAGGGUGAUAUCAGUGAGAGAUAUGGAUAAGGAAACAGUGUUUGAGACGUGUGUCCUAUCAACGUAACUGAAUAAUGGACGUCCUUCUGGAAGCUCCUUGGCCAACCGUGGUCACGUGUGAACGAUGACUUUCGACGUUGGAAAAUAGCAAUGUGAUAAACAACUCUUUGCCCUCCGCAUAUUUCCCUUUCAGUUAAUGCUUGAAAUCAUUUUGUGAACAGAGAUUUAGAAAUCACUAUCGUUCAAUCUUGAGUCAAGGAUCUAAAAAAUUUAUGCUCCGUUAAUUCUAAAUACAAUUUAUGCACAUUGACAUGUGCUCAUAUAUUACACAGGAUAAACAAAUUUAUA